CCAUUUAAAUUUGAGCUUUCAUCUCUUGAAAAAUGCAUGGCUUGGAUUUCAGCUACCUGUAUUUUCCUCUCCCUGCAUCACUUCUGUGAUUUAACUCUCAGCAUAACUCAGCUGCUGCUCAUGUGAGCAUCUCUCAGGACCUCAAUACCACCAGCUUCCCUCAGCUGAAGGAAAAUCGGUGACCUUAGCAGUGAAGCUGACAGCUUUUGCUCCAGCACUGGUACUGAUUCAGGCUUGUUGCCUGUUUACCAUGCCUGUGGUGCACCUCUAUUAGAAAUACAUCACUUGCUGCCAUAAAACAGAAAGGGAAAAGUUUACUCUUCUCCCCACCUUAAUCAAGUGCUUUGUGCUUCUGAAUUUAAUCUGAUCUUACAGACGUUUCUGCAGCUCGUGUUCUCUCCAUGUCUUUGCUGGAGGCACAACUUUAUUCCAGCUGCUCUCCAGAGAUGUGUGGAUGUAUCCCUGAAACGUGAAGGCUGUGGCUCUGAGAAUUCAUGGGCCACACGGGCUUCUAAUGGGACAGGCAGAAGGCCUGAAGGCUUGGGAGAUGGCAAGAGCAAAUCUCAGGAACGUUUUGUCUUCAUCCCCAUCCCCUUGGUGGAAGAGUUUCCAUUGGCAAAUCCUGAUCUGAUGUGAUUCUGCCAGCAGUUCUCCAGCACUCCAAUGCUCCAUGUAACAGCUGAGGCGUUGCAGUCAGAAAGGAAACCUUAAACUUGGGUUUUCCAUCAUCUUUUUCCUCUCAUCUCCUGAAGAAUCCCUAAGACUCAUACGAUUUUCCAGGCUCUGAGACAGAAGUAAGACUUGUUUGAUUGUUUCUGUGGCAAAUUAAAGGGUUUGUGGCAAAUUAAGGAAUAUCAUCUCUAUCCAACAUGUGCAAAUCCCAAAGAUAACAGUUUAAAUGGUCCCAAUGUAAAUGUCUGUAUCUUCAGGGCUGACUACAGAAGUGACAUAAAAAGGCUUUGGGGCAACAACUGUGCACUUGUUUGUUCUUUUGCCCAGCAGCUGUCACAGUGAGUCUUUCUUCUGUGCUAAAACUUUGUUGUAUUCCACUCUAACAAGUAGUAAAAACAACAGCAGAAGUGGUGGGAAGCUGCAGCUGAAGGGAAACUUAUUCCAGAGCAGUAUUUAAUAGGCUGUGCUUCCAUCUACCCAAUGUGACUGGAACAGAACCAUGCUGUAACUCACCUAAGUGGCCUCUGUCAGCUCAAAUAACAGUCGUAGCUAAGAAAGCUGCACCUUGAAUUUCACCACUGCCACAUGUCUGCCCUUUUCCAAAUCUCAGAAGCAAUUCUGUGCUCGCUGCAGGAUGAAUCCCUACUGAAAAGCAUUGCUCUCGUUUAGGGGACCUCAGAGGAGUGAACGCAGUGAUUUGCUCAGCACACACUGCUCUCAGUUUACUUCUCACUGCCCCUUCCCCAUCUUAUCCCCUUUGUUACCCCCACUCUCACCUGCAGCUCUUUGCACUGGCUUUAUUUCACGCAGCACCUCGCAAAGCAGAGCUGUUCUCACAGCCUCUUGUCAUUACAUCCAAGGAAACCCAAAGAUGGAUGUUUCCUUACCCUGAAGCCCCCAGCUGCUAUCUCUAUAGCACAUAACUCUCACCAACACGGCUCGCAUUUGCAGGAUACAGAAUUGAAAUUCCACUGACAAUAUCAGGAACGCAAAAAAACAAGUGCUGGAAUUGCUCGUGCUUUAUAGACACUUCCUGACAGGAGCUUAUCUCCACCUGUACAAUGCGUUGUUAUCCUCAUAAAUGCUGCAUGUUUGUAUAUCAUGGGUAAUGAAACGCAGCCCUAGCAGCUCAUAAGACACAUGAGGACUGGCAGAGCUUCUUGCAGUGGCUGGAUAAUUCAAUGUGAGGUGGUUUACA